CGGCGGACGGGUGAGUAACACGUGGAUAACCUACCUAUAAGACUGGGAUAACUUCGGGAAACCGGAGCUAAUACCGGAUAAUAUAUUGAACCGCAUGGUUCAAUGGUGAAAGACGGUUUUGCUGUCACUUAUAGAUGGAUCCGCGCCGCAUUAGCUAGUUGGUAAGGUAACGGCUUACCAAGGCAACGAUGCGUAGCCGACCUGAGAGGGUGAUCGGCCACACUGGAACUGAGACACGGUCCAGACUCCUACGGGAGGCAGCAGGU
rnacentral:rRNA from 1 species